CGGGCCCGCACAAGCAGCGGAGCGUGUGGUUUAAUUCGAUGUUACACGAAGAACCUUACCAGGGUUUGACAUAGCAGUGGUAGGGAAGCGAAAGCGGACCGACCCUUCGGGGAGCUGUUACAGGUGUUGCAUGGCUGUCGUCAGCUCGUGUCGUGAGAUGUUCGGUUAGGUCCGCUAACGAGCGCAACCCGCGUUGUGUGUUACAAGUGUCACACAAUACCGCCGGUAUUAAGUCGGAGGAAGGUGCGGAUGACGUCAAGUCAGCAUGACCUUUAUAUCCAGGGCUACACACACGCUACAACGGUCAGCACAAUAGGUUGCCAAGUCGUGAGACGGAGCCAAUCCUCCAAAGCUGGCCUCAGUUCAGAUUGUAGGCUGCAACCCGCCUGCAUGAAGUUGGAGUUGCUAGUAACCGCAGGUCAGCUAUACUGCGGUGAAUACGUUCCCGGGGAUU
rnacentral:rRNA from 1 species